GAGAGCCGGCCCUGGGAGGGGAGAGGCCAUGUGGCCGCAGUCCUUCCCCACAAAAGGAAGAGUUAUCAAAGGAAUGGGGAGGUUGCUCUGCUGCUGGGGCCUCGACAUUGUUAGGAAGGAAGCGAGAAGCCAUUAACUUCAAAUGUGUCCAAUUCCAUUUUAUUGCGUAUCGAGUGGCCAGAAAAAGGCCCAGUCAGUUUAAGAUUUAGCAGCAACUAAUAAAUUCUAGUAUUUAAAGUAACAGAAGGUAGAGAAGAAGCAAAACAGAAUUGAUGUGCAUUCGCUAAUUUGCCAACGUGGUUUCCAGAGGGAGAAGAUAAAGCCAGAGGAGUGGCUCUGAUGGGCACAAAUACGCUGCCUGGGAAGAAACCACCACGGGGGAUUCCACGCUGGAGGCGCACUAAGUGUGCCUUAUUUCCUCCUGCCAGCAGAAAUGGAGUAAAUGGAUCAUAAACAUUUCUGAACUUCCCAGGCACCUGUGAGCCAUGCUGGCAUAAAGCAUUAAUGGGUCUCAUUUCCCUUCUGGUGGGUGCACCUGAGGGAACCCUGCAUGGCAGCUGGUUGUAGAAGAAGCCAAAAACAGAAGCUGACAGCAAAUCAUAAAGCCCCUGGGAUCGUGUCCUAUUUAAAUAGAUCACCUUGUUUCCAAACAUUCAUUUAUUUCCCUUUUUGAUUCUUUCUCCUCCAUUUGUAAUCCUGUAUUUCCGGUUUCACAGUUUUCUGGUGUUUAUCAUGUGUUAGGCACUGUGUUAGCCACCUUUGGCACCACAUCCUAUAAUAAGCAAAGCUGCCUAUAAGCCAUUCUACUCCUCUCCUUGCUCUUGUAUAGCCUUCAUCUGCCCCAUUAGCUUUGGGCUCAGAAUUCAUAUCCUGGCCUUGGUUACUGUGUUGCUCCCUGAAUCUCUCCUAGCCUAUCAGGGACCUGAGGGCUCUUCCUCAAACCUGCCUCACUUGGCACAUUGAGAGACAGGGGCAGCAGCAAGGAAGUCCUGCGGUAAGUGAGGGAGACUGGACCGUGAGGGCUACUGACCUUUUUUCAUAUCUGGACCUCCCAGCUGUCUUCAUUGGUAAGGAUAGAUAUGUUUCUAUAUUUUUAUUUACUUGUUAAGCCUCCCCUCAUAUGCAUUUUCUGCUCAUGUUCUUUGUCUACUUAUCUACUGAGGUCUUGAAUUUAAAAAAAUCAAUUUAUAUGAAUUCUUUAUGUAGCAGAGAUAUUAAAGCAUUUCUGCAAUGUUUGCUGCAAAAUUCUUUCUCUGUCCAAUAUUUGUUUCCUUGGCUUUUGCUAUAAAGAAGAUAUGUCUUCUGAGUGUAAAGUCUGUACCCAUAAAUAAGAAGGGCCAUAUUUAAA